AUCUCCAACACCAUACUAGUGUCUGCGUAUGUGAAAAUGGCACAUUUCUAAAUGUUGUAGCAAAAAGAGUUAAACAAUAAAAUGUGGAAAACACACCAUUUUCAUUUUCAUUCAACUCUAAAACUGUACAAUAAAGUCUUCUCCCUCUUCUAGGCAUAAUGAAGGAUGAUGAGAUCCAGAAUUAUGGCGGUGACACCAUAAGCUGCUCUCUGGCUCCGGUGCAGCGUCUGGAGGCCCUGCUGGCUCAGGGGAAUGGCAACGAUGUGUCCCUCAGGGUUCAGAGUCCAGGGCCUUCAGCAGGGUCACCCAGUACAUGACUCAGAACCUGGCCAGCUCCUCUGGACACGCAGUGGAAAGGUACCAGUAUGCCCUUCAGACUGGAGAAGUGGCCCUGAGGGAACCUGUCCUGGAACCUGUCCUCCGUACUGCAGAGUGGGGAGUGGACCACCGUCAGCAUCGACCUGCUCAUGACCCUGCUGCAGCGUUUAGACCUCAUC